UAGGGAAUCUUCCACAAUGGACGCAAGUCUGAUGGAGCAACGCCGCGUGAGUGAAGAAGGUUUUCGGACCGUAAAGCUCUGUUGUUGGUGAAGAAGGAUAGAGGUAGUAACUGGCCUUUAUUUGAACGGUAAUCAACCAGAAAGUCACGGCUAACUACGUGCCAGCAGCCGCGGUAAUACGUAGGUGGCAAGCGUUGUCCGGAUUUAUUGGGGCGUAAAGCGAGCGCAGGCGGAAGAAUAAGUCUGAUGUGAAAGCCCUCGGCUUAACCGAGGAAUUGCAUCGGAAA
rnacentral:rRNA from 1 species